CAAAUUAGAGCUUGAAUAAAGCAUUUCAUUUACAUUGAAGAGAUAAUAAAUAUUUAUUUAAUUUGG
rnacentral:tRNA from 1 species